ACGCUGGCGGCAGGCCUAACACAUGCAAGUCGAGCGGUAGAGAGAAGCUUGCUUCUCUUGAGAGCGGCGGACGGGUGAGUAAUGCCUAGGAAUCUGCCUGGUAGUGGGGGAUAACGUUCGGAAACGGACGCUAAUACCGCAUACGUCCUACGGGAGAAAGCAGGGGACCUUCGGGCCUUGCGCUAUCAGAUGAGCCUAGGUCGGAUUAGCUAGUUGGUGGGGUAAUGGCUCACCAAGGCGACGAUCCGUAACUGGUCUGAGAGGAUGAUCAGUCACACUGGAACUGAGACACGGUCCAGACUCCUACGGGAGGCAGCAGUGGGGAAUAUUGGACAAUGGGCGAAAGCCUGAUCCAGCCAUGCCGCGUGUGUGAAGAAGGUCUUCGGAUUGUAAAGCACUUUAAGUUGGGAGGAAGGGCAGUAAAUUAAUACUUUGCUGUUUUGACGUUACCGACAGAAUAAGCACCGGCUAACUCUGUGCCAGCAGCCGCGGUAAUACAGAGGGUGCAAGCGUUAAUCGGAAUUACUGGGCGUAAAGCGCGCGUAGGUGGUUCGUUAAGUUGGAUGUGAAAUCCCCGGGCUCAACCUGGGAACCGCAUUCAAAACUGACGAGCUAGAGUAUGGUAGAGGGUGGUGGAAUUUCCUGUGUACCGGUGAAAUGCGUAGAUAUAGGAGGGAACACCAGUGGCGAAGGCGACCACCUGGACUGAUACUGACACUGAGGUGCGAAAGCGUGGGGAGCAAAC
rnacentral:rRNA from 1 species